AGCGAACGCUGGCGGCAGGCCUAACACAUGCAAGUCGAACGAACUCUUCGGAGUUAGUGGCGGACGGGUGAGUAACACGUGGGAACGUGCCUUUUGGUUCGGAAUAACUCAGGGAAACUUGUGCUAAUACCGAAUGUGCCCUUCGGGGGAAAGAUUUAUCGCCAUUAGAGCGGCCCGCGUCUGAUUAGCUAGUUGGGGAGGUAACGGCUCACCAAGGCGACGAUCAGUAGCUGGUCUGAGAGGAUGACCAGCCACACUGGGACUGAGACACGGCCCAGACUCCUACGGGAGGCGGCAGUGGGGAAUCUUGCGCAAUGGGCGAAAGCCUGACGCAGCCAUGCCGCGUGAAUGAUGAAGGUCUUAGGAUUGUAAAAUUCUUUCACCGGGGACGAUAAUGACGGUACCCGGAGAAGAAGCCCCGGCUAACUUCGUG
rnacentral:rRNA from 1 species